UACGUAGGUGGCAAGCGUUGUCCGGAUUUAUUGGGUUUAAAGGGUGCGUAGGCGGCUUUGUAAGUCAGUGGUGAAAUAUGGCAGCUCAACUGUCAAGGUGCCAUUGAUACUGCGGAGCUUGAGUACAGAUGAGGUAGGCGGAAUUGACGGUGUAGCGGUGAAAUGCUUAGAUAUCGUCAAGAACACCUAUUGCGAAGGCAGCUUACUAAGCUGUAACUGACGCUGAGGCACGAAAGCGUGGGGAUCAAACAGG
rnacentral:rRNA from 1 species